rnacentral:rRNA from 1 species
GGGUUGUGAGGUUAAGCGACUAAGCGUACACGGUGGAUGCCCUGGCAGUCAGAGGCGAUGAAGGACGUGCUAAUCUGCGAUAAGCGUCGGUAAGGUGAUAUGAACCGUUAUAACCGGCGAUUUCCGAAUGGGGAAACCCAGUGUGAUUCGUCACACUAUCAUUAACUGAAUCCAUAGGUUAAUGAGGCGAACCGGGGGAACUGAAACAUCUAAGUACCCCGAGGAAAAGAAAUCAACCGAGAUUCCCCCAGUAGCGGCGAGCGAACGGGGAGCAGCCCAGAGCCUGAAUCAGUGUGUGUGUUAGUGGAAGCGUCUGGAAAGGCGCGCGAUACAGGGUGACAGCCCCGUACACAAAAAUGCACAUGCUGUGAGCUCGAUGAGUAGGGCGGGACACGUGGUAUCCUGUCUGAAUAUGGGGGGACCAUCCUCCAAGGCUAAAUACUCCUGACUGACCGAUAGUGAACCAGUACCGUGAGGGAAAGGCGAAAAGAACCCCGGCGAGGGGAGUGAAAAAGAACCUGAAACCGUGUACGUACAAGCAGUGGGAGCACAGAGCAAUCUGUGUGACUGCGUACCUUUUGUAUAAUGGGUCAGCGACUUAUAUUCUGUAGCAAGGUUAACCGAAUAGGGGAGCCGAAGGGAAACCGAGUCUUAACUGGGCGUUAAGUUGCAGGGUAUAGACCCGAAACCCGGUGAUCUAGCCAUGGGCAGGUUGAAGGUUGGGUAACACUAACUGGAGGACCGAACCGACUAAUGUUGAAAAAUUAGCGGAUGACUUGUGGCUGGGGGUGAAAGGCCAAUCAAACCGGGAGAUAGCUGGUUCUCCCCGAAAGCUAUUUAGGUAGCGCCUCGUGAAUUCAUCUCCGGGGGUAGAGCACUGUUUCGGCAAGGGGGUCAUCCCGACUUACCAACCCGAUGCAAACUGCGAAUACCGGAGAAUGUUAUCACGGGAGACACACGGCGGGUGCUAACGUCCGUCGUGAAGAGGGAAACAACCCAGACCGCCAGCUAAGGUCCCAAAGUCAUGGUUAAGUGGGAAACGAUGUGGGAAGGCCCAGACAGCCAGGAUGUUGGCUUAGAAGCAGCCAUCAUUUAAAGAAAGCGUAAUAGCUCACUGGUCGAGUCGGCCUGCGCGGAAGAUGUAACGGGGCUAAACCAUGCACCGAAGCUGCGGCAGCGACGCUGAUGCGUUGUUGGGUAGGGGAGCGUUCUGUAAGCCUGCGAAGGUGUGCUGUGAGGCAUGCUGGAGGUAUCAGAAGUGCGAAUGCUGACAUAAGUAACGAUAAAGCGGGUGAAAAGCCCGCUCGCCGGAAGACCAAGGGUUCCUGUCCAACGUUAAUCGGGGCAGGGUGAGUCGACCCCUAAGGCGAGGCCGAAAGGCGUAGUCGAUGGGAAACAGGUUAAUAUUCCUGUACUUGGUGUUACUGCGAAGGGGGGACGGAGAAGGCUAUGUUGGCCGGGCGACGGUUGUCCCGGUUUAAGCGUGUAGGCUGGUUUUCCAGGCAAAUCCGGAAAAUCAAGGCUGAGGCGUGAUGACGAGGCACUACGGUGCUGAAGCAACAAAUGCCCUGCUUCCAGGAAAAGCCUCUAAGCAUCAGGUAACAUCAAAUCGUACCCCAAACCGACACAGGUGGUCAGGUAGAGAAUACCAAGGCGCUUGAGAGAACUCGGGUGAAGGAACUAGGCAAAAUGGUGCCGUAACUUCGGGAGAAGGCACGCUGAUAUGUAGGUGAAGCGACUUGCUCGUGGAGCUGAAAUCAGUCGAAGAUACCAGCUGGCUGCAACUGUUUAUUAAAAACACAGCACUGUGCAAACACGAAAGUGGACGUAUACGGUGUGACGCCUGCCCGGUGCCGGAAGGUUAAUUGAUGGGGUCAGCGCAAGCGAAGCUCUUGAUCGAAGCCCCGGUAAACGGCGGCCGUAACUAUAACGGUCCUAAGGUAGCGAAAUUCCUUGUCGGGUAAGUUCCGACCUGCACGAAUGGCGUAAUGAUGGCCAGGCUGUCUCCACCCGAGACUCAGUGAAAUUGAACUCGCUGUGAAGAUGCAGUGUACCCGCGGCAAGACGGAAAGACCCCGUGAACCUUUACUAUAGCUUGACACUGAACAUUGAGCCUUGAUGUGUAGGAUAGGUGGGAGGCUUUGAAGUGUGGACGCCAGUCUGCAUGGAGCCGACCUUGAAAUACCACCCUUUAAUGUUUGAUGUUCUAACGUUGACCCGUAAUCCGGGUUGCGGACAGUGUCUGGUGGGUAGUUUGACUGGGGCGGUCUCCUCCUAAAGAGUAACGGAGGAGCACGAAGGUUGGCUAAUCCUGGUCGGACAUCAGGAGGUUAGUGCAAUGGCAUAAGCCAGCUUGACUGCGAGCGUGACGGCGCGAGCAGGUGCGAAAGCAGGUCAUAGUGAUCCGGUGGUUCUGAAUGGAAGGGCCAUCGCUCAACGGAUAAAAGGUACUCCGGGGAUAACAGGCUGAUACCGCCCAAGAGUUCAUAUCGACGGCGGUGUUUGGCACCUCGAUGUCGGCUCAUCACAUCCUGGGGCUGAAGUAGGUCCCAAGGGUAUGGCUGUUCGCCAUUUAAAGUGGUACGCGAGCUGGGUUUAGAACGUCGUGAGACAGUUCGGUCCCUAUCUGCCGUGGGCGCUGGAGAACUGAGGGGGGCUGCUCCUAGUACGAGAGGACCGGAGUGGACGCAUCACUGGUGUUCGGGUUGUCAUGCCAAUGGCACUGCCCGGUAGCUAAAUGCGGAAGAGAUAAGUGCUGAAAGCAUCUAAGCACGAAACUUGCCCCGAGAUGAGUUCUCCCUGACUCCUUGAGAGUCCUGAAGGAACGUUGAAGACGACGACGUUGAUAGGCCGGGUGUGUAAGCGCAGCGAUGCGUUGAGCUAACCGGUACUAAUGAACCGUGAGGCUUAACCUUACAACGCCGAAGCUGUU